UUUCUGUGUGUGUCGGCUGUGCUCCUCGGUGCUGGGCUUAGAGGAGUAGAAGACGGGAGAGCCAGCUGCCGCCUGCUGGAAGCUGGAGUUUGCAGUACUGCGGUUCGGUUCGCCUUGCUGCAGCUCACCUCACUGUGGUUGGCGGUAGCCACGGACGCAUGCCCCUGGAGCGACUUUACCUUGUGGGUUCACAGGGGAGACUACUGUUGCUAAACCCUGCUGAGCGUCGUUUCUGGUGGGCAGAGUUGACAAGCCACCUGCUUCUUCACUACUCCUGACUCAUCUCUGCAGAGCAGACACACCUCACUUUUUGGGCAUCACUGAAGAAUGUUCUGACUUUACCUUUUGGGUUCAGAGGGGAGACUGCUGUUGCUAAGCCCUGCUGAGCAUCAUUUCUGGUGUGGCAGAGUUGACAAGCCACCUGCUUCUUGACUACUCCUGACUCAUCUCUGCAGAGCAGACACACCUCACUUCUUGGACAUCACUGAAGAAUGUUCUGGUAAGUAAAUUUUUCAGGAUUCAAAGCUUACUGCUCAGAACACUCAGCUUUAGAAACCUGGAACUAUUUUGCCCGUUAAAAUCUGGGCUCACUGCAACCUCUGCCUCCCGGGUUCAAGCAGUUUUCUUGUGCUAGCCUCCUGAGUAGCUGGGAUUACAGGUGCCUGCCAUCACGCCCAGCUACAUUUUAUAUUUUCAGUAAAGAUAGAGUUUCACAGCAUUGAUCAGGCUGGUCAUGAAUUUGUGACCUCAAGUGAUCCGUCUGCAUCAGCAUCCCAAAGUGCUGGGUCUGUGCUGUGGUCAGGUCCAUGACAGGGCCCAGCCAACUCUUGAGUGAUGGCCAGGGUAGGGUCAAACCUAGGGUAGGACCAAGGCAGAGGCAGAACCAGGAUGGUACCAAGACCAAGGAAAGGACAGGGAAUGGCCAGAGUAGGGACAGGACAGGGGCAAGGAUAGGGCUGGUUCAUGGCAUGGCCAGGGUCUGGGGACAGGGUCAGGACCAUAGCAUCACCAGCAACUGGGCUGCAGCUAGGGCAGUAACAGUGCCAGAGUCAGGCCCAGAGCAGUGCAAGGCCAGGGUAAUGCCAGACAUUUCAGGGUCAGACAGGAUCAGGACCAGGGAAGAACCAGGGUAAGACCUCAAGCAGGGCAGGACCAGGACCAGGAUGUAGGUUAUUGCCAGGGUGGGGCCGUAACAGAGGGGCAAGUCUAAGGAAGGGCCUGAGUAGGUUAAGGAUCAGGACCAGGGUGGGGGAAGGGCCAGGACUGUGACAAGGUAGGGUCAUGGCAGGGCAUGGCCAGAGCUGGUUCAUAGAGAAGGCAGGGACAGUGCUAAGGUAGGGCCAGGGCUGAGGAAAGGACAGUGAAAAUCAAGUGUGGGACCAGGGCCACGCACAGGCAAGGCAGGGUAGGUCAGGGCAUUGGUACGACUGGGAUGUUGCAGUGUCAUUUCAGUGCCAAGACAGGGCAGAACAGGGAAGGACGAUG